UCCUUGAGGGCAGGGAUCAUGUGUGUUUGAUUUCUCCUUUCAUUCAACUAAUACUUAUUGAGUGUUUACUUAGGAGCUAAGCACUGCUCCAGGAACUGGGGAUACAGCAGUGAACAAGACAAACAAAAAUUCUUCCCCUCAUGGGGCUUACAUUCUAGUGGAAGGAAGGAAACAAUAAACGUAGUAGUAGGUAAAUUAUGUAGCAUGGUAUAAGAUGAUGAGUGUUAAAGGGAAAAAUAAAGCAGAAUGAAAGGUAGAUUGCUGGUGGAGGAAAAGGAUUUGCAAUUUUAGAUAAAGUGGUCAGAGAAGGUCUCACUGAGUAGUGUUGUUCACUUGAAGAAGUGAAAGACUCAAAGGAGGUGAAGGAGCAAGCCAUAUGGAUGCCUGAGGGGCAGGUUGUUCAGACAGAGGGAAAAGCCAGUCCUCUUGGUGGAUGCUUGAUCAUAUAGGAGGAUGAAUGGGUGCAUAAGGGCAUCCAAAUCAUAGUCUCCUGGCCUUCUCUCCUUAGGCCUGUCCUCUCAGUCCCCAGGUGCCAUGAGGAAGCCUCGUCGGAAGUCCCGGCAGAAUGCCGAGGGCCGGCGUUCCCCGUCCCCCUACAGUCUGAAGUGCUCACCCACCCGGGAGACCCUAACAUAUGCCCAGGCCCAGCGGAUUGUCGAGGUAGACAUUGAUGGACGCCUGCAUCGUAUCAGCAUCUAUGACCCACUCAAAAUCAUCACUGAGGAUGAGCUAACUGCCCAGGAUAUCACUGAAUGCAAUAGUAACAAGGAAAACAGUGAACAGCCUCAGUUCCCUGGCAAGUCCAAGAAACCCUCAUCCAAGGGCAAAAAGAAAGAAUCCUGCUCCAAGCAUGCAUCUGGUACUUCCUUCCACCUCCCACAGCCUAGCUUCCGGAUGGUGGACUCAGGCAUCCAGCCAGAAGCACCCCCGCUGCCUGCUGCCUACUAUCGCUACAUUGAGAAGCCACCUGAAGACCUGGAUGCAGAGGUAGAGUAUGACAUGGAUGAGGAGGACCUUGCCUGGCUGGACAUGGUGAAUGAAAAGCGGCGAGUAGAUGGGCACAGUUUGGUGUCUGCAGACACCUUUGAGCUACUGGUAGACCGGCUUGAGAAAGAGUCAUACUUGGAGAGUCGCAGCAGUGGGGCCCAACAGUCACUCAUCGAUGAAGACGCUUUCUGCUGUGUGUGCCUGGAUGAUGAAUGUCACAAUAGCAACGUUAUUCUCUUCUGUGACAUCUGCAACCUGGCAGUACACCAGGAGUGCUAUGGCGUCCCCUACAUCCCUGAGGGUCAGUGGCUAUGCCGCUGCUGCCUGCAGUCUCCCUCCCGGCCUGUGGAUUGCGUCCUUUGCCCCAAUAAGGGUGGCGCCUUCAAACAGACCAGUGAUGGGCACUGGGCCCAUGUGGUGUGUGCCAUCUGGAUCCCUGAAGUCUGCUUUGCUAACACCGUGUUCUUGGAACCUAUUGAGGGCAUUGACAAUAUCCCACCUGCCCGCUGGAAACUAACCUGCUAUAUCUGCAAGCAGAAGGGGCUAGGUGCAGCCAUCCAGUGCCAUAAAGUGAACUGCUACACAGCAUUCCACGUGACAUGUGCACAGCGGGCUGGGCUCUUCAUGAAGAUUGAGCCCAUGCGCGAAACCAGCCUCAAUGGCACCAUCUUUACAGUGCGCAAGACUGCCUACUGUGAGGCCCACUCACCACCAAGUACUGCCACUGCUCGGAGGAAGGGCGACUCCCCUAGAAGCAUCAGUGAGACUGGCGAUGAGGAAGGGCUAAAGGAGGGUGAUGGAGAGGAGGAAGAAGAGGAAGAAGUGGAGGAAGAGGAGCAGGAAGGCCAAGGCGGGGUGAGUGGCCCCCUCAAGGGAGUGCCCAAGAAGAACAAGAUGAGUUUGAAGCAGAAGAUCAAGAAGGAGCCAGAGGAAGCAGGCCAAGACACACCCUCCACUCUCCCCCUGGUCACUGUGCCACAGAUACCCUCUUACAGGUUGAACAAGAUCUGUAGUGGUCUCUCCUUUCAGAGGAAAAACCAGUUUAUGCAGCGGCUUCACAACUAUUGGCUGUUGAAGCGGCAGGCACGGAAUGGUGUCCCUCUUAUCCGGCGCCUGCACUCCCAUCUGCAGUCCCAAAGAAAUGCUGAGCAGCGAGAGCAAGAUGAGAAGACAAGUGCAGUGAAGGAAGAGCUGAAGUAUUGGCAGAAGCUCCGGCAUGACUUGGAGCGGGCGCGGCUGCUGAUUGAGCUGAUUCGGAAGAGAGAGAAGCUCAAACGGGAGCAGGUCAAAGUCCAGCAGGCUGCCAUGGAGCUGGAGUUGAUGCCAUUCAAUGUUCUGUUGAGGACAACACUGGACCUGCUGCAGGAGAAGGAUCCUGCACACAUCUUCGCAGAACCAGUCAACUUGAGUGAGGUUCCAGAUUACCUGGAAUUCAUAUCCAAGCCAAUGGAUUUUUCUACUAUGAGGCGGAAGCUGGAGUCCCACCUGUACCGCACCUUGGAGGAGUUUGAGGAGGACUUUAACCUUAUAGUUACCAACUGCAUGAAGUAUAAUGCUAAAGACACAAUUUUCCACCGAGCAGCUGUCCGCCUGCGGGACCUGGGAGGGGCCAUCCUACGGCAUGCCCGGCGGCAGGCAGAGAACAUCGGCUAUGACCCCGAGAGGGGCACUCACCUGCCCGAGUCACCCAAAUUGGAAGACUUUUACCGCUUCUCCUGGGAAGACGUGGACAACAUCCUCAUCCCAGAGAACCGGGCCCAUUUGUCCCCAGAGGUGCAGCUGAAGGAGCUGCUGGAGAAACUGGACCUGGUGAGCGCCAUGCGGUCCAGUGGGGCCCGCACCCGCCGUGUCCGCCUGCUACGCCGGGAGAUCAAUGCCCUUCGGCAGAAGCUGGCACAGCCACCACCACCACAGCCACCAUCACUGAACAAGACAGUAUCCAAUGGGGAGCUGCCAGCAGGGCCCCAGGGGGAUGCAGCUGUGCUGGAGCAGGCCUUGCAGGAGGAGCCAGAAGACGAUGGGGACAGAGAUGACUCCAAACUGCCUCCUCCACCAACCCUGGAGCCCACUGGGCCUGCACCUUCCUUGUCUGAGCAAGAAUCCCCGCCGGAGCCCCCAACUCUGAAACCCAUCAAUGAUAGCAAACCUCCAAGCCGGUUCCUAAAGCCCAGAAAGGUGGAAGAAGAUGAGCUCUUGGAAAAAUCACCGCUGCAGCUAGGGAGUGAGCCUUUGCAACGCUUGCUCAGUGACAAUGGCAUCAACAGACUAUCCCUCAUGGCCCCUGACACCCCGGGCGGUACCCCACUUAGUGGUGUGGGUCGCCGCACAUCAGUCCUCUUCAAGAAGGCCAAGAAUGGGGUUAAGCUACAGAGAAGCCCAGACAGGGCCCUGGAGAAUGGCGAGGACCAUGGUGUGGCAGGCUCUCCUGCCUCUCCAGCCAGCAUCGAGGAUGAGCGCCACUCCCGGAAGCGGCCAAGGAGCGGGAGCUGUAGUGAGAGCGAAGGGGAGAGGUCCCCCCAGCAGGAGGAAGAGACAGGCAUGACCAACGGCUUUGGAAAACACACCGAAAGCGGGUCUGACUCGGAAUGUAGUUUGGGUCUCAGUGGUGGACUGGCAUUUGAAGCUUGCAGGCAGAAGCCUCCUGCUGCCCUUUGAAGACCGCGGAGACCUGGAGCCCUUGGAGCUGGUGUGGGCCAAGUGCCGAGGCUACCCCUCCUACCCUGCCUUGAUCAUCGAUCCCAAGAUGCCCCGGGAGGGCCUCCUGCACAAUGGCGUUCCCAUCCCUGUCCCCCCGCUGGACGUGCUGAAGCUGGGAGAGCAGAAACAGGCAGAGGCUGGAGAGAAGCUCUUCCUUGUCCUCUUCUUUGACAACAAGCGCACCUGGCAGUGGCUUCCAAGGGACAAAGUCCUGCCCUUGGGUGUGGAAGACACCGUGGACAAGCUCAAGAUGCUGGAAGGCCGCAAGACCAGCAUCCGCAAGUCAGUGCAGGUGGCCUAUGACCGUGCGAUGAUCCACCUGAGCAGAGUCCGGGGGCCCCACUCCUUCGUCACUUCCAGCUACCUGUGAGGGCGGGGCUGGGCCUGCAUCUGCUUGCCCUGCCUCCGUCCCGCGGGGCACAGAGAAUCCUCUUCUGCCCCUGCCAGAUGUAUGGCCGGCAGCUUCCCCCUCUAUGGUAGGCCAGGGACUGGGCUUCCUCCCCACUAGGGGCAAGGCCCCAGUUUUGACCAAUUGCAUGGUUCUCCUGGCAGGCCUGCUGUGUGCCAAAAACUCCCACCCAAGAUCCCUCAGGGGAUUUUUUACUGAAGAACCAGUUAGAAGUAGAAAGAGCUGUGGGGCUUGGGCCCAACUUAGGAGAUGGACCCCACCCAGAUGGCAAGAGGUCCUGGGCUCCUUCUUGAGGGGCUGCCUGGCCCCCUCCAUCCUGCUCCCAUUAACUACACCUCAGGGCGGGUGAGGUUCUGACACUGAUCCCAGAGAUGCUGUGGAUAUGCCAGGGUCCCAAGGGGAAUCUCCCCAAGCUCACUGUCUCUCCCGCUUAUCGCCCAUUCUCACACCUCUUCCCUGUCCCAUCUUCUGUACCCAUUGCUCACCUUUUCUUUUUCUCUUGUGCCAAACUGACAGAAACCGUCACCACACUGGUCCUUUUCUGUAAUGUCUCAUUCCCCUUGAGGCCAGCUGCUAUGCCAGGUGGUGUCUCUGCCAGGCUCCUCAGGGCCCAGACAGAGGCCAGCCCACAACCUGUGACCCCCUCCCCCAGGACAUCACCUCCCACCCACAGACCUUCCCUUUUGCUGUCGACACAACUUCCCAGCUCUGCGAGUGUGCCCCCUGGAUCAAGGCGGGUCCCCUCUUGUUUUCCUUUGCUGCCACGAGGUGGUCCAAGCCUCCAGAGUAGGCUCCUGUCAGGCUGGGUGUGCGAGUGUCCAUCUGUCCACGUGGACGUCGAGGGUGGUUGGGAUGGAGCUGUGCCCGUCAGUGGGGUCUGCCCUCUCCCCCCUUUUCUCCUCUCUUCUCUCCUCAUGGACUUUUUCUGCAAUUGCAGUCUUAAGCUUCACUCUCCACCACCCGGAUGGCAUGGCGCCUGCCACCAAACAUCUUCCUGGCCUGCACUCUGCCCUGCCCUGCCUAGCCUCUGCUAUUCCUACUUCCCAACUUCAGGGAAUGCAUUACUUUUAUUUCAAACUCUCUGCCUCCUUCCUUCUUUCUCUUCAACCCCCUCCCCACCUUCACCUUCUCAAAAAUGGAAGGAAAAAAACUGUGAACGGGGAAUGCUGACUGACAAACCAACACAACUUUCAGAGGCUUCAGUGUCUGUUCUCUAGACAUUUCUUUUCACCUCCUGAGCACCAAAGUCGCAGGGCCAGUUGCAGGCUGCUGAUUGCCAUGUUGAUUUUUAACCUGAUAUUCUUUUUAAUUGUUUUAAAUUUUUCAUAGGGGAGUUUUGGACAAAACAAAGUCACUGGGGAGAUCACUGCCAUUUUUACACACUUGACUUUUUAAAAAUACAGCCAACCAACCACCACAACUUCUUAUACAUUUGGGACAUGAGCCAGAGUUUAAAAGGGAACCAACAAAACACUAUAACUUAAAAGGAUGGGGUUUUGGAUUUUGUAUAAUAAUAAAAACAAUACAGCAUAUGGCUAGGGAAGGACAUGGUGUAUAUAAUUGUAAAAUACUGUUCUAAAUUAUUCAGGCCUAUAGUUUCCAUUAUUGGAGUCCUCCAUUGUGUGGCCACACAGUGUCGUUGAUUUAAAGGAGCCAGUGCUUCCCCUCUCCCCAGGUAGUUGGUCAGCUGUGGACUCUGUGACCUUUGUCUAAACCUGUGUUGUAAGAUCUUGGGACUUUCUCCCUCUCUUUCUAUGUCUAUCUCUUCCCCCCAACACUUUCUCUUCUUAGUCUCUCUUUAUUUUUCAAUCUCUGAAUCUUUUAGUCUCUCUCUCUGAGUCUCAUUUUUUAAAAUGCUCUUUUAGAAUGGGAAACGGCUCAGAUCCUGCUGUGGCAUGGGGCCUAUGUGUCUCUGUCGCGUCUGCUGUGAAGCACAUGAUGCUCUAUUUAUUGUAGAAAGUGACUUUAUUUGCUUUCUAGAAUUGUUUAUAACAGAUGGUAUAAGAGAGGUAAUAAACAGAGAAAAAUCUAUGCUUGUAAAGAAUACAAAAGUUAAUUUUACCUACUAUAAUAUGACUGUCUGAAACUUAUUUUCUCUCUGAGAAAUAAAUGUUCUAAUGGGCAGUA